rnacentral:rRNA from 1 species
GGUGAUACGCUUAUGUCAAAGAUUAAGCCAUGCAUGUAUUCGUACGACCAUCUCAUGGUUAAACUGCGAACGGCUCAUUACAACAGCCAAAAUCAGCAUGAGGUGUACCUUAUGGAUACUUGCAGUAAUUCUGGAGCUAAUACACGUGCGACCUUCGGGUUCAUUUUUUAGAUUCACUAACCGGGCAACCGUUGAGUGAUGACUCUGAUUAUCUUGCAGACCGCAUGCUUUUGCAGCGGCGAUUCAUUCUGAUUGACUGUCCUAUCAACUUUCUAGUAGAGUAGCGGUCUACUAGGGUGAUUACGGGUAACGGAGGAUUAGGGUUUGACUCCGGAGAAGAUGCCUUAGAAACGGCAACUACAUCCAAGGAAGGCAGCAGGCGCGUAAAUUACCCACUCUCAGUUCGAGGAGGUAGUGACAACCAAUAACGAGACUCAGACCUUUGGUUUGAGUCAUCGGAAUGGGUCCAAAGUAAACCCGUUAACGAUGAUCAAUGAGAGGGCAAGUCUGGUGCCAGCAGCCGCGGUAAUUCCAGCUCUCAGAGUGUAUAUCUGUCUUGCUGUGGUUAAAAAGCUCGUAGUUGGAUCUGUACCUUGAGAAACAGUUCACCUUUGUGUGUAACUGCUUUCCGAGGUGUAAUUCGUGGGUUUACUCACGAGAGUUACCCUGAUUAAAUCAGAGUGCUCAAAACAAGCGUUUCGCUUGAAUGUUUUUGCAUGGAAUAAUGGAAAAGGACUUCGGUUCCUUACUGUUGGUUUCGGAAUUGAAGUAAUGAUUAACAGGGACCAACGGGGGCAUACGUAUCGUUGCGCGAGAGGUGAAAUUCAUGGACCGCAGCGAGACGUUCAAUAGCGAAAGCAUUUGCCAAGAAUGUCUUCACUAAUCAAGAACGAAAGUCAGAGGUUCGAAGGCGAUUAGAUACCGCCGUAGUUCUGACCGUAAACGAUUCCAUCUAGCGAUCCGACGGCGGUUUUUCUGCCUUGUCGGGGAGCUUCCCGGAAACGAAAGUCUUUCGGUUCCGGGGGUAGUAUGGUUGCAAAGCUGAAACUUAAAGGAAUUGACGGAAGCGCACCACCAGGCGUGGAGCUUGCGGCUUAAUUUGACUCAACACGGGAAAACUCACCCGGCCCGGACACCGUAAGGAUUGACAGACUGAUAGCUCUUUCACGAUUCGGUGGUUGGUGGUGCAUGGCCGUUCUUAGUUGGUGGAGCGAUCUGUCUGGUUUAUUCCGAUAACGAGCGAGACUCUAGCCUACUAAAUAGUUUCUUCAUCUUCUGAUGUAGCGAACUUCUUAGAGGAAUCGCCGGUAUUGAGCCGCAUGAAAUAGAGCAAUAACAGGUCUGUGAUGCCCUUAGAUGUCCGGGGCUGCACGCGAGUUACUAUGGAGAAUCCAACGUGUCUACCUUGACCGAAGGGUCUAGGCAANCCGUUGAAACCUCUCUUUGAUCGGGAUAGGGAAUUGUCCAACUAUUUCCCUUGAACGAGGAAUGCCUAGUAAGAACGAGUCAUCAACUCGUUCUGAUUUGGUCCCUGCCCUUUGUACACACCGCCCGUCGCUACCCGGGACUGAACUGUUUCGAGAAAACCGGGGACUAGCUCUCAAGCCUCGUGCUUUGUGAGCCGGAAACCAGUUUAAUCGCGACGGCUUGAACCGGGUAAAAGUCGUAACAAGGUACCG